rnacentral:rRNA from 1 species
AGAGUUUGAUCCUGGCUCAGGAUGAACGCUAGCUACAGGCUUAACACAUGCAAGUCGAGGGGCAGCAUUUCAGUUUGCUUGCAAACUGGAGAUGGCGACCGGCGCACGGGUGAGUAACACGUAUCCAACCUGCCGAUAACUCGGGGAUAGCCUUUCGAAAGAAAGAUUAAUACCCGAUAGUAUAAUGAAACCGCAUGGUCUUAUUAUUAAAGAAUUUCGGUUAUCGAUGGGGAUGCGUUCCAUUAGGCAGUUGGUGAGGUAACGGCUCACCAAACCUUCGAUGGAUAGGGGUUCUGAGAGGAAGGUCCCCCACAUUGGAACUGAGACACGGUCCAAACUCCUACGGGAGGCAGCAGUGAGGAAUAUUGGUCAAUGGACGAGAGUCUGAACCAGCCAAGUAGCGUGAAGGAUGACUGCCCUAUGGGUUGUAAACUUCUUUUAUACGGGAAUAAAGUGAGGCACGUGUGCCUUUUUGUAUGUACCGUAUGAAUAAGGAUCGGCUAACUCCGUGCCAGCAGCCGCGGUAAUACGGAGGAUCCGAGCGUUAUCCGGAUUUAUUGGGUUUAAAGGGAGCGUAGGCGGACGCUUAAGUCAGUUGUGAAAGUUUGCGGCUCAACCGUAAAAUUGCAGUUGAUACUGGGUGUCUUGAGUACAGUAGAGGCAGGCGGAAUUCGUGGUGUAGCGGUGAAAUGCUUAGAUAUCACGAAGAACUCCGAUUGCGAAGGCAGCUUGCUGGACUGUAACUGACGCUGAUGCUCGAAAGUGUGGGUAUCAAACAGGAUUAGAUACCCUGGUAGUCCACACAGUAAACGAUGAAUACUCGCUGUUUGCGAUAUACAGUAAGCGGCCAAGCGAAAGCGUUAAGUAUUCCACCUGGGGAGUACGCCGGCAACGGUGAAACU